AAUUGUUUUCAUCUGCCGAGUUUCUUCUUCAUUGUUUACCUUCAUUCUUUACCUCCGCUUCUCUGUAAAACGAGAAAACACCUUUGAAAUAGUAUAGAAAUUAGACACCGGUUAGAUUACAUUAGUUAUCUCGUGAAAUCGAAGGCUAUAGUGGAGAGAUCUUUGUCAGGACAACUGUGUAAUCUUUUGGUAACGAAAUUUCUACAUAAUUCAGGUAUAGUUUCUUUAAACAAUAUCCAUUUUACACUAAUUUUUUCAAUUUUUCUUAGUGAUAUGUGAAAUAUCUUUGAAUAUUUUUUAUAUACAACUUUCAAUUCUUUUCUUGACUAUUUUGUGUAUUUCCAAUUUUCAACUUGUAUAUUUUUGCUUCAUUACUUUCAAUUGCUAUCCUGAUUCUUUUGUGCACUUCCACUAGUCAACUUAUGAAUUUAUUAAGUUCAUGAUUUUUGAUGAAUUACUUACAUUAUAGAUUUAGAAAAAUAUUGGAUGUGUAGGUUGAUUGGGAGGGAGCAAAAUCACUAAAAUUAGAGAUGAAAACCUCGUUCCUUUUUGGAAGUCUUUCUCUUCUUCAUCUUCAAUAGUAGUAUAGCAAAAACAUUUGCAAAAUAAUAAUAGUCUUUAUGUUUAAAAAAAACUCUUCAUUUUACAAAACUCAUAUGAAAAUUGUAAUGUUUUUUUCUCCUGCAUUUAAAUCCUACAAG